UUGGUUUGCUCUUGUAGGUCUCUUCUCCUCAACCUGAGGAACCCGAGAAUUCAACAUGAAGAAAAAAGCUCCAACAGAGUGGCAAAUAAGCUAGCUAAAGAAGGGCUCUUGCUACCUCAAACACUCUUUUUGUAACUUAGACGACUCCCCCUGUAUUUGUUAAGUCGCUAAUGGAUGUUGUUAGUUAUGUACCUAGGUUCACUGAUAGCCAUGUAACUUCUAAUAUAGGGCCUGUUGUGCCCAGUAACCAUGGCCACUAUAUUACUACUACUAGAGCUGUGA
rnacentral:lncRNA from 1 species